AUUGAACGCUGGCGGCAUGCUUUACACAUGCCAGUCGAACGGCAGCGCGGGCUUCGGCCUGGCGGCGAGUGGCGAACGGGUGAGUAAUACAUCGGAACGUGCCCAGUAGGGGGGGAGAGCUCGGCGAAAGCCGGAUUAAUACCGCAUACGACCUGAGGGUGAAAGCGGGGGAGCUUCGGACCUCGCGCUAUUGGAGCGGCCGAUGGCCGAUUAGCUAGUUGGUGGGGUAAAGGCCUACCAAGGCGACGAUCUGUAGCUGGUCUGAGAGGACGACCAGCCACACUGGGACUGAGACACGGCCCAGACUCCUACGGGAGGCAGCAGUGGGGAAUUUUGGACAAUGGGCGAAAGCCUGAUCCAGCAAUGCCGCGUGUGUGAUGAAGGCCUUCGGGUUGUAAAGCACUUUUGGCGGGAACGAAAAGGACUGUGCCAAUACCACGGUUCGAUGACGGUACCCGCAGAAUAAGCACCGGCUAACUACGUG
rnacentral:rRNA from 1 species